rnacentral:rRNA from 1 species
UUAUAAUGUUAUAUAAUUUUUAAUUUUUGUUAAAUUUUUAUUUUUUAAUAAUUAAAAUAAUAUUAAGUAAAUAAUUUAUUUAAGUAAUUUAUAUAAAAUAAUUUUAAUAAUAAUAUUUAUUGUAUUGUAAAAGAUAUAAAUAAAAAUAAAUUUUUUAUUUAUAUAAAAAGAUGAAUUAAUUUUUUUUACCUUUUGUAUCAGGGUUAAUUUAAAAUUUUUAUAAAUUUUUAAAUAUUUCGAAAUUAAUUGAGUUAAAUUUUUAUUUUAGUUAAUGAUUAAUAUUAUUAAAAAUAAAAAUUUAGAAAUGAUAUGUUAUUCGUAAUUAAUAAUAUCUAAUUUUUUAAUAAAUGAAUUUAAUUCAUUAAUUAUUUUUUUUAAAAAUAAAAUUUAAUUAUUUUUAAAAAUUUAAUUAAAAAAUUUUAUGGGAUAAACUUUAAAGUUAUUAUUAAAAAAUUGAAUUUUAUGUUUAAAUACUAAUAUAUAAUUUAAAAUUUUAAUUUUUAAAAAAUUUAUAAUAAUUUAUUUAUUAAAUUAAUUUAAUAAAUUAAUUUAAAAUUUAAUUUUUAAUUUUUUUAUUAAAAUAUAAUUUAAAAUUUUUUUAAAUUAAUAUUAAUGAUUAAAUUAGUAAAUUUUAUUAUUUUUGAUAUAAUUUAAAUUAAUUUAAUAUAUUAAAUUAAUGAAUUAGGCAAAUUUUAAUAUUUACCUGUUUAUUAAAAACAUGUCUUUUUUUUAUAAAUAAAAAGUCGAAUCUACUCAAUGAAUUAUAUAUUAAAACAUUUAAAUAGUUGCAGUAAUUUUAACUGUACAAAGGUAGCAUAAUAAUUUGUCUUAUAAUUUAAGACUAGAAUAAAAGAUUUAAUAAAAUAUUGACUUUAUUAAUUUAAAUAAUAAUUAAAAUUUAUUUUUAAGUAAAAAAUCUUAAAUUUAAUUAUUAGACGAUAAGACCCUAUAGAACUUUAUAAAAUUAUUUUUUAAAUUAAUAAAAUAUUAUAUUAAUUUAAAAAAUAAUUUUAUUAAAUUGGGGGUAUUAAAAAAUUGAUUUAAUUUUUUUAUUUUUAAUUACAUUUAUAAAUGAAUAAUAAAGUUAAAGAGUGUUUAAUAUAAAUUAAUAGAAUAAGUUACCUUAGGGAUAACAGUAUAAUUUUUUUAGAUAGAUCAUAUAGAUAGAAAAGAUUAUAACCUCGAUGUUGAAUUAAGAUAAAUUAUAAAAGAAGAUUUUUAUAAAUUAAGUCUGUUCGACUUUUAAAAUCUUACAUGAUUUGAGUUAAAAUCGGUGUGAGCCAGAUUGGAUUUUAUCUUUAAUAAAAUUUUAAAUAUUUGUACGAAAGGACUUUAUUUAAUAAAUAAAAAUUAAUAAGUAUUAUGAAUUAAUUUAAAAUUAUAUAAAUUUAAAAUUUUUUAAAUAGUAAAUUUUUAAUUUAUAUAAUUAUAUUAUUAAUAAUAAAUUUAU